rnacentral:misc_RNA from 1 species
UGUGCUGUUCGUUUCGUCAUAUUUGUUAAUCGUCUACUCGAUCUCGUCAGACCCAUCAAGGUGUCAGUUCUAUUUCCGUAAUUUGAUCUACUCUGGUGCCUUUCUGAAGAUUUUGGCACUUUACUCUUUGCAUGUUCUGUUGGAUUUUGAGCUUGUUUUAUCUCCUUUAGAUCAUUUAGUGCAGUAGAUACGUGGGGUUAUAAAAUUUUCUGAAGUUUACAUUCAAACCUCAAAAGGGUUUUAUUUUGAAGAUUUGGGCACGGUU